GGGUGCAGUUUACUACAUACCCAACAUUUAUCAUAUCCUGAUUUUUGAGCAUACCCAUACUUAAAUUGUAAUAACAGCAUUUUAUCAGUGAGUGAGGUGUCCGGGCAUUUUAAUUCA